rnacentral:rRNA from 1 species
UAUCCCUACGGGACGCAGCAGUGAGGAAUAUUGGUCAAUGGGCGAGAGCCUGAACCAGCCAAGUCGCGUGAAGGAUGACGGCCCUACGGGUUGUAAACUUCUUUUGUCAGGGAGCAAUUGAGUCCACGUGUGGGCUUAGCGAGAGUACCUGAAGAAAAAGCAUCGGCUAACUCCGUGCCAGCAGCCGCGGUAAUAAGGAGGAUGCGAGCGUUAUCCGGUUUUAUUGGGUUUAAAGGGUGCGUAGGCGGAAUAUAAAGUCAGCGGUAAAAAUUCG